AUACGUAGGGGGCGAGCGUUGUCCGGAUUUACUGGGCGUAAAGGGUGAGUAGGCGGUUAUGUAUGUCAGAUGUAAAAGGCACAGGCUUAACUUGUGUUAGCAUUUGAAACUGCAUAACUUGAGUGCAGGAGAGGUAAGUGGAAUUCCUAGUGUAGCGGUGAAAUGCGUAGAUAUUAGGAGGAACACCAGUGGCGAAGGCGACUUACUGGACUGUAACUGACACUGAGGCACGAAAGCGUGGGGAGC
rnacentral:rRNA from 1 species